UUGGAGGGCAAGUCUGGUGCCAGCAGCCGCGGUAAUUCCAGCUCCAAUAGCGUAUAUUAAAGUUGUUGCAGUUAAAAAGCUCGUAGUUGAAUUUCGGGGUUCAUCCGUUGGUCGGGCUUUUUUGGUCUGUACUGGCGUGAUGGAUUCCUACCCUCUGAAUAACCGGCAUGUCAUUAAUUUGGUGCGCCGGGGAAGCAGGACUGUUACCUUGAAAAAAUUAGAGUGCUUAAAGCAGGCUAUCGCCUGAAUACAUUAGCAUGGAAUAAUGAAAUAGGACGGCAUGGUUCUAUUUUGUUGGUUUCUAGGAUCACCGUAAUGAUUAAUAGGGAUAGUUGGGGGCAUUAGUAUUCAAUUGUCAGAGGUGAAAUUCUUGGAUUUAUUGAAGACUAACUUCUGCGAAAGCAUUUGCCAAGGAUGUUUUCAUUAAUCAAGAACGAAAGUUAGGGGAUCGAAGACGAUCAGAUACCGUCGUAGUCUUAACCAUAAACUAUGCCGACUAGGGAUCGGACGAAGUUAAUUUUAUAAUGACGCGUUCGGCGCCUUACGGGAAAC
rnacentral:rRNA from 1 species